rnacentral:rRNA from 1 species
AUACGGAGGAUUCGAGCGUUAUCCGGAUUUAUUGGGUUUAAAGGGUGCGUAGGCGGAUGAAUAAGUCAGAGGUGAAAUGCAUAUGCUCAACAUAUGAAUUGCCUUUGAAACUGUUCGACUAGGAUACAAAUGGAGCAGGCGGAAUGAACUGUGUAGAGGUGACAUUCAUAGAUAUAGUUCAGAACAUCGAUCGCGAAGGCAGCUUGCUAAGAUGUGAUUGACGCUGAGGCACGAAAGCGAGGGGAGCGAACAGGAUUAGAUACCCUGGUAGUCCUUGCAGUAAACGAUGAUAACUCGUUGUUGGCGAUAGACAGUCAGUAACUAAGCGAAAGCGAUAAGUUAUCCACCUGGGGAGUACGAUCGCAAGGUUGAA